UGGGUUGGCUUCCUGCCCAGAAGCAGCUCUGGUCACCCUGGACACCAAAGCAGAAGGAGGGGAGAAUAUGGAGAACCAGGGAUAGUACAGUUUGAGCUGGCCAUAUCUUGGUGCUGUGGAAGGAGCUUCUGCUCCAGCCGACAAGGUAGCUACCCCUGGAGGAUCAUUUUCUGACUCUGUUGAAUAUCCUGCAAUAUAACCUGGGCCUUGACUCUAGCGAAUCCUUGAAGUUGAUCCCCAACACUGCAUUGUGAGCCUAACCCUGCGGGAACAUUGACUACCCACGGAUGGAGUUUCUGAGCAGCCGUGGAGACCUAGGAGAGGGGCUGCCGUCUUGGAGGGAGUGGGGGCUUGCACAUCCCUGUGCAAUAGUCCACCUUGCUCUCCCACCCUCCUUCCUUCUUUCCACCAUCACCUGCUUGCUGAGGGCUGGGAGAAGCAGGUCCAGCAUCUUCCUCUCACGAAGAACAGCUGUGGAGGCCAGGCUCUGUGUGUGUGUGUGUGUGUGUGUGUGUGUGUGUGUGUGUGUGUGCGUGCGUGCGCGCGCGCGCGCGCGCGCUCGAGAGAGAGAGAGAGAGAGAGAGAGAGAGUAUGUGUGUGAGUGUGUUGUGUGAGUGUGAGUGUGUGAGAGUGUGAGUGUGUGUGCUCGAGAGAGAAUGUGUGUGUGAGUGUGUUGUGUGAGUGUGAGUGGGGGGGGCUUCUCAGCAAGGCCCUUCCAACUGGAUCUCGAAGGGCUUUAUCCUGGAUGUGCCAUGAUGGAUAAGGACAUAGGCCCCAACAGGGAGCAGAAGGCCAGUUGCCCUUCAAGAACUGCAGAUGACCAGGAAGCCAGGAAAACAGCUGCUAUUUGAAAAGGACUAUAGGCCCAGGGGGCACAUUAAAGUCAAUCUCAAGGUAGCAGGCAAAACUUAGGGGUCGCUUCACCCAAAGCAAGCAAGAAACAAAAUAAAAUCCCAAAACAACACAGGACAACCCCCUCUCCCGCCACCCAGGAAUGCUUCUCCAACUAAAGCAACAGCAGCAGCAGCAGCAGCAGCAGAAGCAGCAGGUCUCUGCCUCCUACUUCCUCAAACUCCAGCCACAGGGACACAGUCACUGGACUGCUGCUCACAGGACUUCCCUUGCUGCUCAGCCCAGGGAGGGCACUGAUGUUCAAAGUUCGCUCUCUUGGAAGAGGCUCGGUGUUUUGGAGCAUUUGUUGCUCUUGCGAAGGUCCCAUGUUUGAUUCCCAGCAUCCACGGGGUGGCUCUCAACCAUCAGUAACUCCAGUUCCAGAAGAUUUGACACUUUCUCCUGAACUCGACAGGAGUUCAUGUGGUGUGGCAUAGAGGCAAAACAUUCAUACACAUAAAACCAAAUAAAUUUAUUCUAAGAAUUAAA